AGUGAACGCUGGCGGUAGGCCUAACACAUGCAAGUCGAACGGCAGCACAGUAAGAGCUUGCUCUUACGGGUGGCGAGUGGCGGACGGGUGAGGAAUACAUCGGAAUCUACUUUUUCGUGGGGGAUAACGUAGGGAAACUUACGCUAAUACCGCAUACGACCUACGGGUGAAAGCAGGGGAUCUUCGGACCUUGCGCGAUUGAAUGAGCCGAUGUCGGAUUAGCUAGUUGGCGGGGUAAAGGCCCACCAAGGCGACGAUCCGUAGCUGGUCUGAGAGGAUGCUCAGCCACACUGGAACUGAGACACGGUCCAGACUCCUGCGGGAGGCAGCAGUGGGGAAUAUUGGACAAUGGGCGCAAGCCUGAUCCAGCCAUACCGCGUGGGUGAAGAAGGCCUUCGGGUUGUAAAGCCCUUUUGUUGGGAAAGAAAAGCAGCAGGUUAAUACCCCGCUGUUCUGACGGUACCCAAAGAAUAAGCACCGGCUAACUUCGUG
rnacentral:rRNA from 1 species